rnacentral:rRNA from 1 species
GACGAACGCUGGCGGCGUGCUUAACACAUGCAAGUCGAACGGAAAGGCCCUGCUUGCAGGGUACUCGAGUGGCGAACGGGUGAGUAACACGUGGGUGAUCUGCCCUGCACUUCGGGAUAAGCCGGGGAAACUGGGUCUAAUACCGGAUAGGAGCCAUUUUUAGUGUGAUGGUUGGAAAGUUUUUUCGGUGUAGGAUGAGCUCGCGGCCUAUCAGCUUGUUGGUGGGGUAGUGGCCUACCAAGGCGGCGACGGGUAGCCGGCCGGAGAGGGUGGACGGCCACAUUGAGACUGAGAUACGCGCCAGACUGCGACGGGAGGCAGGAGUGGGGAAUAUUGCACAAUGGGCGGAAGCCUGAUGCAGCGACGCCGCGUGGGGGAUGACGGCCUUCGGGUUGUAAACUCCUUUCGCUAGGGACGAAGCUUUUUGUGACGGUACCUAGAUAAGAAGCACCGGCUAACUACGUG